rnacentral:piRNA from 1 species
UCCUGGUGUUGCACUUGUGGAAGGAUGU